CGUAAACAAUUACGUAUUAUAUUGUUGUUCAAAUCACUAACAAUGGACUUCAUCGAUCGUGAGUGAAAUUUUUAAGGCUUUUAUGAGACAACUUAGGAUACAUAUUUACUAGGAAAUAUUAGCCAGGACUAGCUGCGUUUUAUCACUGAUAAUCUACGGUUCAGUUCUUACCAAUUGUUUUGCAAUCAAAUGCAAAACCGAUACGAAUUCGUUUAAUGUUCCAGCAAUAAUUGAAAUAAAAAGUAGCGAUUUCCAUGAAGAACGAAAACGACUUGCAAACAACACCGUCGUGAAUUUGAAGAGCAGCUUCUAAUGCACAAGCACAUUCGGCGAUUUUCUGCUCUUGA